rnacentral:rRNA from 1 species
UACGAAGGGGGCUAGCGUUGCUCGGAAUCACUGGGUGUAAAGCGCACGUAGGCGGAUCUUUAAGUCAGGGGUGAAAUCCUGGAGCUCAACUCCAGAACUGCCUUUGAUACUGGGGAUCUCGAGUCCGGGAGAGGUGAGUGGAACUCCGAGUGUAGAGGUGAAAUUCGUAGAUAUUCGGAAGAACACCAGUGGCGAAGGCGGCUCACUGGCCCGGUACUGACACUGAGGUGCGAAAGCGUGGGGAGCAAACAGG